AAUAUUUGGGGACCUCCCCGGAGCCUCCUGACCCUCCUUGGCCCCAAAAACCCCCCAAAAAACCCUUAAAUUGGGUUAAAAUCCCAUUAAAUUUGGUUAAAUCCCACCCGAAAAAAGCGUUUUCACCCACUUGUGGCUUCAUGUUUGUUCUUUUUUUGGGGUUUUUGGGGGGUCCUGAGCACCCCAAAAUUUUGGGGGACCCUCCCCGGACUCUCCUGACCCUCCUUGGCCCCCCUGCACCCCAAAAACCCCCCUUAAAUUGGGUUAAAACCCCAUUAAAUUGGGUUAAAUCCCACCCAAAAAAAGCGUUUUCACCCACUUGUGGCUUCGUGUUUGUUCUUUUUUUGGGGGGUUUUGGGGGGUCCUGAGCACCCCCAAAUAUUUGGGGACCUCCCUGGAGCCUCCUGACCCUCCUUGGCCCUCCUGCACCCCAAAAAUCCCCCUUAAAUUGGGUUAAAAUCCCAUUAAAUUGGGUUAAAUCCCACCCGAAA